UACGUAGGGGCAAGCGUUGUCCGGAAUCACUGGGCGUAAAGCGCAUGUAGGCGGGAUAUUAAGUCAGGUGUGAAAACUAUGGGCUCAACCUGUAGAUUGCAUCUGAAACUGGUAUUCUUGAGUAUUGGAGAGGAAAGUGGAAUUCCUAGUGUAGCGGUGAAAUGCGUAGAUAUUAGGAGGAACACCAGUGGCGAAGGCGACUUUCUGGACUGUAACUGACACUGAGGCACGAAAGCGUGGGGAGGCAAACAGGAUUAGAUA
rnacentral:rRNA from 1 species